ensembl:lncRNA
AUUUUGUUCAUUGUCUGUCCUCUCCCACUACCACCAUCACCACCACUAUAACGGUAAAUUCUGUAAGUCAGGAAGUUUUGUCUGUAUUAGUCAUUGAUGCUCAGCACCUAAAAGAGUAUCAGGCACAGUCAGCCUCGGACUGCAGCCUGCAAGGCUCUUCUGUCCAUGGGAUUCUCCAAGCAAGAACAUUGGAGUAGGUUACCAUGCCCUCCUCCAGGGGAUCUUCCUGACCCAGGGGUCGAACCUGCAUCUCUAAAGUCUCCUGCGUUGGAUUCCCUGAUACCUCAGCUGGUAAAGAAUGCACCCGCCAUGCGGGAGACCCUGGUUGGAUCUCUGGGUUGGGAAGAUCCCCCAGAGAAGGGAAUGGCUACCCACUGCAGGAUUGGCCUGGAGAAUCCCAUGGACUCUAAAAGUCCACGGGGUCACAGAGAGUCAGACACAAGAUCCACUCAAGGUUGACUUUUGGCCCCUAUGUGACUUUGGCUGGUUUCCUGACCUGGAUCCUGUGCCUCAGUUCCCACCUCUGGCAGAUACACCCUUAGCCAGGAGAUCCUUGUCCACCCAUGGAGUUGUUGUACCUCACUAUCAGAAAAGACAAUGCUCUGGAUAUAAGUUACAGGGAUCCAAGAACGUAUCCACCAGUGCAAUGUAUUGUAAAUGAAGACAUAAGAAUUUGGGUUUAUAAAUGUCUGCUGUCACCCUGUUUGUUUAACCUAUACACUGAGCACAUCAUGAGAUGCCAGGCUGGAUGAGUUACAAGCUGGAAUCAAGAUAGGUGGGAGAAACAUCAACAACCCUGAGGUUGUUGCGGAUGAUACUACUCUAAUGGCAGAAGUGAACGGUAACUAACGAGCCUCUUGAUGAGGAUGAAGCGGGACAGUGAACAAGCCAGCUUAAAACUAAAUAUUAAAAACACCUAAGA